GUACGGCAAGGAGAUGUUCUUCCACUGAAUUAGCAAACGUAUCUAAUGAGGAUUUGUUACUAAUGAAUUCACUCAGAUUAUUCCACUCUCUUAUCGCUAAAGGAAAGAAUGAAUUC
rnacentral:lncRNA from 1 species